AUCCAGACUCCUACGGGAGGCAGCAGUGGGGGAUAUUGCACAAUGGGGGGAACCCUGAUGCAGCGACGCCGCGUGGGUGAAGGAGCGUUUCGGCGCGUAAAGCCCUAUCGGCAGGGAAGAAGGAGGACGGUACCUGACUAAGAAGCCCCGGCUAACUACGUGCCAGCAGCCGCGGUAAUACGUAGGGGGCGAGCGUUAUCCGGAUUCACUGGGUGUAAAGGGAGCGUAGACGGCCAUGCAAGCCAGGGGUGAAAGCCCGGGGCCCAACCCCGGGACUGCCCUUGGAACUGUGUGGCUGGAGUGUCGGAGAGGCAGGCGGAAUUCCUAGUGUAGCGGUGAAAUGCGUAGAUAUUAGGAGGAACACCAGUGGCGAAGGCGGCCUGCUGGACGAUGACUGACGUUGAGGCUCGAAAGCGUGGGGAGCAAACAGGAUUAGAUACCCUCGUA
rnacentral:rRNA from 1 species